rnacentral:rRNA from 1 species
CAGCAGCCGCCGCGGUAAUACGAAGGGUGCAAGCGUUACUCGGAAUUACUGGGCGUAAAGCGUGCGUAGGUGGUGGUUUAAGUCCGUUGUGAAAGCCCUGGGCUCAACCUGGGAAUUGCAGUGGAUACUGGGUCACUAGAGUGUGGUAGAGGAUAGUGGAAUUUCCGGUGUAGCAGUGAAAUGCGUAGAGAUCGGAAGGAACAUCUGUGGCGAAGGCGACUAUCUGGGCCAACACUGACACUGAGGCACGAAAGCGUGGGGAGCAAACAGGAUUAGAUACCCGAGUAGUCCCUGUCUCUUAUAC